rfam:Ovis aries breed Texel chromosome 8, whole genome shotgun sequence.
UCCCUGGUGGCUCAGAGGUUAAAGCGUCUGCCUGCAAUGCAGGACACCUGGGUUCAAUACCCAGGUUGGGAA